rnacentral:rRNA from 1 species
UACAGAGGGGGCAAGCGUUAUUCGGAAUUAUUGGGUGUAAAGGGCGCGUAGGCGGCUUGGCAAGUGGAAGGUGAAAUCCCUCGGCUUAACCGAGGAACUGCCCUCCAAACUGCUUCGCUUGAGACCGGGAGAGGUGAGUGGAAUUCCCAGUGUAGCGGUGAAAUGCGUAGAUAUUGGGAGGAACACCAGUGGCGAAGGCGGCUCACUGGACCGGUACUGACGCUGAUGCGCGAAAGCGUGGGGAGCAAACGGG